AGCGAACGCUGGCGGCAGGCUUAACACAUGCCAGUCGAGCGGGCAUCCUUGUGGUGUCAGCGGCAGACGGGUGAGUAACGCGUGGGAACGUGCCCUUCGGUUCGGAAUAACUCAGGGAAACUUGAGCUAAUACCGGAUACGCCCUUUUGGGGAAAGGUUUACUGCCGAAGGAUCGGCCCGCGUCUGAUUAGCUAGUUGGUGAGGUUAUGGCUCACCAAGGCGACGAUCAGUAGCUGGUCUGAGAGGAUGAUCAGCCACACUGGGACUGAGACACGGCCCAGACUCCUACGGGAGGCAGCAGUGGGGAAUAUUGGACAAUGGGGGCAACCCUGAUCCAGCCAUGCCGCGUGAGUGAUGACGGCCUUAGGGUUGUAAAGCUCUUUUCUCCGGGACGAUAAUGACGGUACCGGAGGAAUAAGCCUCGGCUAACUUCGUG
rnacentral:rRNA from 1 species